GAUCCUGGCUCAGAAUCAACGCUGGCGGCGUGCCUAACACAUGCAAGUCGAACGAGAAAGUGGAGCAAUCCAUGAGUAAAGUGGCGCACGGGUGAGUAACACGUGACUAACCUACCUUUUAGUGGGGGAUAACCUAGGGAAACCUGGGCUAAUACCGCAUAAUACCUACGGGUCAAAGCAGCAAUGCGCUGAAAGAGGGGGUCGCGGCCGAUUAGCUAGUUGGCGGGGUAAUGGCCCACCAAGGCAGUGAUCGGUAUCCGGCCUGAGAGGGCGCACGGACACACUGGAACUGAAACACGGUCCAGACUCCUACGGGAGGCAGCAGUGGGGAAUUUUGCGCAAUGGGGGAAACCCUGACGCAGCAACGCCGCGUGGAGGAUGAAGUCCCUUGGGACGUAAACUCCUUUCGAUCGGGACGAUAAUGACGGUACCGGAAGAAGAAGCCCCGGCUAACUUCGUGCCAGCAGCCGCGGUAAUACGAGGGGGGCAAGCGUUGUUCGGAAUUAUUGGGCGUAAAGGGUGCGUAGGUGGUUCGGCAAGUCUUGUGUGAAAUCUUCAGGCUCAACUUGAAGUCUGCACAAGAAACUGCCGGGCUUGAGUAUGGGAGAGGUGAGUGGAAUUUCCGGUGUAGCGGUGAAAUGCGUAGAUAUCGGAAGGAACACCUGUGGCGAAAGCGGCUCACUGGACCAU
rnacentral:rRNA from 1 species